rnacentral:rRNA from 1 species
UACGAAGGGGGCUAGCGUUGUUCGGAUUUACUGGGCGUAAAGCGUGCGUAGACGGUUAUUUAAGUCGGAUGUGAAAGCCCCGGGCUCAACCUGGGAAUUGCAUUCGAGACUGAAUAGCUAGGGUACGGUAGAGGGAAGUGGAAUUUCCGGUGUAGCGGUGAAAUGCGUAGAUAUCGGAAGGAACAUCAGUGGCGAAAGCGACUUCCUGGACCAGUACCGACGUUCAGGCACGAAAGCGUGGGGAGCAAACAGG